rnacentral:lncRNA from 1 species
AAGCAUAGUUUCAAGGGCUAUAAAGCAGCAGGGUCUGAAGAAUCAGGGAUUCCAGAUUUUAAAGCUGUAGCAUCUUAGAUUUUAGAACAGAUUGACAGUAAGUUCCCUUAUUUUCAUUUGCUUAAACACGUGGGAAUUAAACUGAUAUAAAGCUGCUGCAGGUAUAAUUUAGGCCACAAGGUUAAUGUUUAUUCUGAUUCUGAGGCCACAGGAGUCUGCUUUUCCAGAACAGGCAAUCAUAUCCUUCCCUCACCUCCACGAUGUCCUGAGAUGCAGGAGCCACUCCUGUGCUCCUCCUGCUCUGUAUCAGGGUAUUUCUGUGACACUCAGCAUCAACAGCCUGAACGUAUGUGAUCAUUCCAGCUUUCUGGGUGAUUGCAUCAGCUUGAGUGCUGGAAAUGAUGGAAUAUGCCUGCUGGGGACCGAGGACUCGGGAGACUGAAGCCAGCUCCUGUCACACCCUGAAGGACAUUCCCCCAUGUCUUGGAGAAUAGCUGAGUUCUUGCUACAUUUCAGCAUUGGGAAGUUCAUGCACAAACACAUCUGCAAGUAGUUUAUUUCUUCGCACUGCCAGUUGGCACUGCUCUCAUUAGAUCCCCUGCAUUGCAUUUUGCUAUUUGUUACCUAAACAGCUGCAGACUCUUGCUCCAAGGCCUCAGAAGAGAGAGCCCUUUUUGUCUAGCAAAUAACAUUAAUAAAGGUUGGAUCUACGGUAGCA